AGGAAAAAAAGACAUAGACAUGAAGGGAGAAGUUGUCCAUGAAUUAGAAGUCUGCUUGUCUGCUGAAGAGAUAUGGAUGAUCUACCGUAGUUUACAACUCUCCCAAUUGGUUGUCAAAUUAUUACCCUAAUAUCAUUCACAAAGUUGAAGUCAUAGAAGGAGAUGGAGGGGUUGGAACAGUUAUUCAUGUUCAUUUCUCUUCUGAAAUGUCUCCGGUGCAGUCAUUGAUAGAAAAAUUCACAAAGAUUGAUGAUGAGAAGCGGAUCAAAGAGGCUCAUAUAAUUGAAGGUGGAUAUCUGCAGUUAGGUUUUAUUUCUUAUAUGAAUAGACUUGAGAUCAUAAAAAAAGAGGAUGCAGUUUCGGUUAUAAAAUCAAGUGUGGUGUAUGAAGUUGCUGAGGAAUUUGCUUCCAAUGUUUCAUUAGUUAGCACUGAUAUUCUUGCAGCCAUUAAUGAAACUGUUGGGAAAUAUUUGAUUGGUCAGAAGAAAUCCAGUGCUUGAUUUCUUUGAAAACUAAGCUUCUAAAAGUUAUAAUAAAGACAUAUGCAUGCACUCUUUGUUUCCUUCCAGAAAUAAUACUAGCUAUGCCAAAGUCAUUUGGUUCAAAUGGUUAAUGAUACAAAAAAUAAGUCUCUCAUGUGACGUAUGGAGUGGUAAUCAAGGAUUCGAAUUAUCAUUGGAGAAAUUAAGUCACUGGUGAUGUUGCAAUCUACACUCAUGGGCAUAGAGACAGGCGCUUGUUGUUUUUUUUUUUAAAAAUAAAUAAAUAAAUAAUAUUAGCUAGCUUUUGGAGUAUAUGAAUGCAUGUGUAUUCCUUUAUGUUUCAGAAUAUUUUGUACUCAUUUUAAUACGAUGAA